rnacentral:rRNA from 1 species
GAAUAUUGGACAAUAGGUGAAAGCUUGAUCCAGCGACGUCACGUGAAUGAUGAAGGCCUUAGGGUUGUAAAAUUCUUUUAGUGGAGAAGAUAAUGACGGUAUCCACAGAAAAAGUCCCGGCUAACUUCGUGCCAGCAGCCGCGGUAAUACGAAGGGGGCAAGCGUUACUCGGAAUUAUUGGGCAUAAAGCGUGCGUAGGCGGUUUUAUAAGUUGAAAGUGAAAGCCUUUGGCUCAACCAAAGAAUUGCUUACAAAACUGUAAAACUAGAGUAUUAGAGAGGAUAGAAGAAUUCCUGAUGUAGGGGUGAAAUCCGUAGAUAUCAGGAGGAAUAUCGAAGGCGAAAGCAUCUGUCUGGCUAAAUACUGACGCUGUUGCACGAAAGCGUGGGGAGCAAACAGGAUUAGAUACCCUGGUAGUCCACGCAGUAAACGAUGAGUGCUAGAUGUUAGAACUAUGUUUUAGCGUCGAAGCUAACGCAUUAAGCACUCCGCCUGGGAAC